rnacentral:rRNA from 1 species
GUUGAGUGUCGGAUAGUGGCGGACGGGUGAGUAACACGUGGGCAACCUGCCCUACAGCCUGGGAUACCAUCGGGAAACUGAUGUUAAUACCGGAUACGCUCUUUUGAUCGCAUGAUCUAAGGAGGAAAGAUUUAUCGCUGUAGGAUGGGCCCGCGGUCCAUUAGCUAGUUGGUAGGGUAACGGCCUACCAAGGCGACGAUGGAUAGCUGGUCUGAGAGGACGAUCAGCCACACUGGGACUGAGACACGGCCCAGACUCCUACGGGAGGCAGCAGUGGGGAAUAUUGCGCAAUGGGGGCAACCCUGACGCAGCAAUGCCGCGUGAAGGAUGAAGGCUUUCGGGUCGUAAACUUCUGUCUAGAGGGAUGAAUUUUGACAGUACCUCUGGAGGAAGCCCCGGCUAACUACGUGCCAGCAGCCGCGGUAAUACGUAGGGGGCAAGCGUUGUCCGGAAUCACUGGGCGUAAAGCGCGCGUAGGUGGUCUAGUAAGUCAGAUGUUAAAAUGCGGGGCUCAACCCCGUAAUGCAUUUGAAACUGCUGGACUUGAGGACAGGAGAGGAAAGUGGAAUUCCUAGUGUAGCGGUGAAAUGCGUAGAUAUUAGGAGGAACACCAGUGGCGAAGGCGACUUUCUGGACUGUACCUGACACUGAG